rnacentral:rRNA from 1 species
AUUGAACGCUGGCGGCAGGCCUAACACAUGCAAGUCGAGCGGAUGAAGGGAGCUUGCUCCUGGAUUCAGCGGCGGACGGGUGAGUAAUGCCUAGGAAUCUGCCUGGUAGUGGGGGAUAACGUCCGGAAACGGGCGCUAAUACCGCAUACGUCCUGAGGGAGAAAGUGGGGGAUCUUCGGACCUCACGCUAUCAGAUGAGCCUAGGUCGGAUUAGCUAGUUGGUGGGGUAAAGGCCUACCAAGGCGACGAUCCGUAACUGGUCUGAGAGGAUGAUCAGUCACCCUGGAACUGAGACACGGUCCAGACUCCUACGGGAGGCAGCAGUGGGGAAUAUUGGGCGAUGGGCGAAAGCCUGAUCCAGCCAUGCCGCGUGUUUGAAGAAGGUCUUCGGAUUGUAGAGCACUUUAAGUUGGGAGGAAGGGCAGUAAGUUAAUACCUUGCUGUUUUGACGUUACCAACAGAAUAAGCACCGGCUAACUUCGUG